AUUGAACGCUGGCGGCAGGCCUAACACAUGCAAGUCGAACGGUAACAGGAAGAAGCUUGCUUCUUUGCUGACGAGUGGCGGACGGGUGAGUAAUGUCUGGGAAACUGCCUGAUGGAGGGGGAUAACUACUGGAAACGGUAGCUAAUACCGCAUAACGUCGCAAGACCAAAAAGGGGGACCUUCGUGCCUCUUGCCAUCGGAUGUGCCCAGAUGGGAUUAGCUAGUAGGUGGGGUAACGGCUCACCUAGGCGACGAUCCCUAGCUGGUCUGAGAGGAUGACCAGCCACACUGGAACUGAGACACGGUCCAGACUCCUACGGGAGGCAGCAGUGGGGAAUAUUGCACAAUGGGCGCAAGCCUGAUGCAGCCAUGCCGCGUGUAUGAAGAAGGCCUUCGGGUUGUAAAGUACUUUCAGCGGGGAGGAAGGGAGUAAAGUUAAUACCUUUGCUCAUUGACGUUACCCGCAGAAGAAGCACCGGCUAACUCCGUG
rnacentral:rRNA from 1 species